GGAACCCCUGCUUGGAAAGGCAAAAGCCAUGCCACCAAUAGCGAGUCUUGGAGCGACAAUGGUAACAUUCUCGUUUAAGCGUAGACAGUUAGGAUGCAGGCCUGAAAGUGAUUGAGCCUCGAAAAUUAGGAGAACGGGAAGGUCGACGAGCUUUACUACUCGGAAGACAACACUCGCUUAGACGUAUAGGGCAAGUCUGAGGGAGGUUGCUCGGGGUCGAAGAGCC
rfam:Paenibacillaceae bacterium GAS479 genome assembly, chromosome: I